AAUCCAGACUCCUACGGGAGGCAGCAGUGGGGAAUAUUGCACAAUGGGGGGAACCCUGAUGCAGCGACGCCGCGUGGGCGAGGAAGUAUUUCGGUAUGUAAAGCCCUAUCAGCAGGGAAGAACAAUGACGGUACCUGACUAAGAAGCACCGGCUAAAUACGUGCCAGCAGCCGCGGUAAUACGUAUGGUGCAAGCGUUAUCCGGAUUUACUGGGUGUAAAGGGAGCGCAGGCGGCGCGUUAAGCCUGGUGUGAAAGCCCGGGGCCCAACCCCGGGACUGCCCUUGGAACUGCAUGGCUGGAGUGCGGGAGGGGCAGGCGGAAUUCCUGGUGUAGCGGUGAAAUGCGUAGAUAUCAGGAGGAACACCGGCGGCGAAGGCGGCCUGCUGGACCGCGACUGACGUUGAGGCUCGAAAGCGUGGGGAGCGAACAGGAUUAGAUACCCCCGUA
rnacentral:rRNA from 1 species